UUGAAAUUCUCACCUACAAUGUGAUGCUAUCAAAAGGUGAGGUCUUCGGGAGGAUUGAAGGUGGCUGGACCCUCAUCAGGAAGGAUAGACAUAGCUUACCUGUGCAGGUGCAGGCUGAGGUGCUGAACAUCCAGGAGUGAAAAUGGGAGCUGCUCCAAGAAGAGGCAGAGAACAGAACUCGCCUCUAGGAUGCUGAGUCAAGUUAUCAUGCACUUGUGUCAGAUGUCACUGAGUUUACUUCUUACUGGGUGGAGACACUUGGCAUUUGUAAAGAUUGCUGGUGAGACAGCAGCCACUGCUCCCAGGCCCGACAACAGGGGCAGCACCAAAGCUGGUCAGUGUUUCCUCCUUACAGGUCUGAAGGUGCUGCAGAGGAGGGUGCUUCCCAGAGAUCACCCCUGUGACAGACAGAUCGAUUGAAGGACCCCUGAAUGGCUGAAUUGAGAAGAACAAGCAUAUUAGGAGGCCAUACAAUGGGAGCCUCUCAGGCAGACAGACAAAGCCGUGGAAACUGCAGACUUAUUUGUAUGUUCUGGUAAACACCUUUGCUUCAUUUUCCCCGUCUCCGCCUGGACUGAGGGUCACCUCACCUCUCCUGGUGUCCAGAGCCUCCUUC
rnacentral:lncRNA from 1 species